rnacentral:misc_RNA from 1 species
GUUUAGUUGAUCAUUGGUGAUUUGUGUAUGUUAGUGCUAAAGUUUUAUGUAUUUAUCGAUGGUCAGGGAUCUGACUCGACGAUCUAGAGUUUGUCAAGGGCAGUAGACGGUCACGUGAGCAAGUGGAGGUCAGUUUGGGGACCAUGUUAUGAUGUACAUCAUGUUGUGUUACCUGACUAUGCCAAAUACACGUUUUCGACAGGAAUUUUUGUCAUGUAAAUGGUGACACCCAAAAGAUAUGGGCCACCAUAAUGACAGUUCAGCAAUUUUCUGUCACAGACCCCCUACACCAAAAACCAGCCAACAGAAGUUUUCUUGUAAUAUCCAUCAUCUGUUUUGUGAUUGCCUGCAUCUUCAUCUGCACAGCCCUUUCUGUUAUUUUGACUAAUAAUGAACCUAAGAAACAGCCCAGAGUUGACACAGAUUAUGGUGCCUUGAGUUCAAAGACAAGGAGCAGUUUGUUGUCCCUCAUUCAACCAUCUUCCUCCUUUGCUCCUUCUGUGUCCACAGAUGCAACAUCUGCCUCCAUACAGAUCUCAAGUUCUCCAAUAAAACCCUCUGAAGUCAGCACUCGUCCUGUACACAAUUCCUCAGCAAUGAUGAUGUAUUCAUCGACAAUCAUGGUUUCAGCAACUUCAACCCUUCUACAGAUGUUAUCCUCAGUCAUGUCUAUCUCGGAGAAGUCUUGGACUUCUCCUGUCUUCCAUACAUCAUCUAUAGAUUUUUCCUCAGAUGUGUUAUCCUCUUUCUACUCCCCUGUUUUGUCCAGUAGUUUGGUCAAUACAACAAUUGCUGCUCCCGUUACCUUACCAGCGUGUUCUGAAUCCGAUUUUACUUGCCACAGUGGAGAAUGCGUCCAAAAAAACUUUCGAUGUAAUCGCUAUCAGGAAUGUCGGGACAAAUCUGAUGAAGAGAACUGUCCAGACUGUGUGGGCGUUCAGUGUGACUCAGGGCUGUGUCUAUGGAGCUGGUUCCCCCUCUGUAAUGGUGUGGUGGACUGUCCCGAUCUCAGUGAUGAAGUCAAUUGUGCUUCAGAUACCAAGUUCCAGUGUGACAAUGGGGUGUGGAUCUCCACAGAUCAGUGGUGUAACGGGAUUGACAAUUGUUAUGACAACAGUGAUGAGAGGAAUUGCAGCUGUCUGGCCGGUCUGGAGACGAUGUGUGGUGACGGGAAGUGUAUCCGCACAGACUGGAUCUGUGACGGAUUCAGUGACUGCAGUACAGAUGAGAUUGGCUGUGACAAGUGUGGCGGUGACCAGUAUGUGUGUGGAGACUACAGCUGUAUCAGUGAGACCAUGGUGUGUGAUGGGCUCCAAGACUGUCCCCGGGGGGAGGAGGAAAAGCAGUGUUUUACCCUUGUGAAUAACCUGACCACCUCAAGCGGGAUACUUGUGGGGAGCUUCAGGGGAAGCAACUUUGUCUAUCCUGUAUGUAGCACAAACUGGAACCCCCGUCAUAGUGACACUGUGUGCAGGAGUUUGGGACAUGGGUAAAAAGAUUCAGCGCUGUACAAUUUAUUGUAAACCAACUUUUAUUUCAGAUGACUUUAUUUUGGGAAUUACCUUCAAAGCAACUAAUUUUCAUGAUCAAGCCUUAUCAAAACCACUUUGAUAUUACAACCACAGGACAAGGGAUGGUUCACAGGAAUCGGCGAGGACCCUGACCUCUAGUAAGUUGGAUGCCGUUCAGUAUUUGGAGCUGAUUGACUACCAGACAGACACACAGACAAUCCUCCCACAUCUCCAGACCAGCCUCACCUGUCAAUCAAACAGGACUGUUGAGAUCACCUGCAUGCCAAAAGAGUGUGGGAGGAGGAGCCCUGGCCUCCUGGUUCCAUUUAUCUCAGGCGGAGACCUGGUCACUAGAGGGCGCUGGCCAUGGGUGGUAUCCCUGUCCUACCUGGGGAAGCCCAUCUGUAGUGGUGUCCUCAUUAGUCCUCGCUGGGUCCUCACCGCAGGACACUGCAUGGCUGUGGGUUUACAAUUACACCCACACACCUAACUACAUCCAAGUCCUUCUGGGUUCAAUAAAACGCUCACGUGACCUGGACAGAGAAUCGGUGCUAUUGCGUGCAGUCAAGAUUCUCCACCACCCUGACAUGAAGUGGACAGGUGAGGGGACGAUUUACUGGGACAUUGCCCUCAUUCAGUUAGAGAGACAAGUGACCUUCACCUCUGUCAUUCAGCCCAUCUGUCUCUCAUCGUCCCAGAAUCUGCCGGUAACAAGUACCUGCUUCCUCGCCGGCUGGGGAAACAUCGAACCUAAUCACGACACAACAGUGGAGUAUUUGAGAGAAGUCAAGCUCCGUGUGUGGGGGGAGAAGGCUUGUAGGAAUAAUACCUUACCGUCAGAAGCCAGCGUCAACACAAACUUCACCCUGUGUGCCGGCUACACCGUGGGCAUGAUGUCUGGAUGUCGGGGGGACAGUGGGAGCGGCCUGAUGUGUGUGAACCACCUCGGUCAGUGGAGCGUGGAGGGCAUCAUGUCCAGCGGCGGGGCUCAGUGUGGCGUCCCCUCCCCCCGGGCUCUCCGCUUCACCAGUGUGAACGCCACCUUCCCAUGGAUUAGACAGACCAUGUUUACAUAUGGAUGAUGUUCAGUUCUUAUAUCCACCACAUUUCUUACGUUAGUCUGUUGUGCAUUUGCCGCAAGCUAGGGUGGUAUAUCAGGGUCAGGUGAUUGUUACACCUGGGAGGCAGGGAACAAUGUGACAUUGACCUCAAUUACCUAUAUGUGUGACCUCAAUUACCUAUCACCAUAAAUGAUUCAAAGCAAGGCAGAAACACAAUAUUGAUUCAAGCAUUAUGUAGAGUUUGUCUUAAUAUUUAUUACUUCAUUAAAAUCUUUGUGUACCGUUCUAUCAAUUCAUAUCUUGUAUGUUUUAUCAUUUUAUACUGUUAUAGUUACAUGUAUGUACUAACUGUAAUCACGAAGAAUCAUCGACUUGUACAUAAUUAAGCCAUACUGUUAGUCAGGAGAAAUCGACACCUGCAUCACUUAGUUUUGGAUUACACAUUUAUCAGUACAUGCGAUAUACAUGACCCUUAUUAUUAUCAGAGAUAGUCGGAACUAAUAAGAAUAGUCCAGUAUUCACCAUAAGCUUAGAAAAUAUACUAGUGCAAUUCAUCAGUACAAGUUUGUUUAAUGUAGUUUUAGAAAAUUGAUUGUCCAUGUAAAAUUAAAAACACAUUUGGACUAUGUUUUUGAAUAAAUCAAUAUUAAAUUUGUUCAGCUUUCUCAAUAUCAAAAAAAUAAAUAGUUUAUCACAUUAUCAGUUGCAAGAAAAAUUUUUAAAAAGAGGUACCUACCCACCCACAAUGAAAAUUUGUCUCUGAUUACGACAUUAUUAAUGCUGGCCUCAUAAGUACAAAAUGAUUUAGGAUAAUUUGCAUAUUGCAGAAACUGUACAAUCCAGUUUUGGUUAGCAUUGUUAUUUUGAUAUUCCUUCAUUGUUCUAGUGUCCAAUUCUAUCACUACAAUUAGGUUUGUAGAAAAGUAUAUUUUACAAAAGCCAUCUUUAUAUUUUGAUAUGAAUUUUAUUUGUAUCAGGUGCACUGUCAUUUUAUGAUAUUAAUUUUUUUAAAAUAUAACGUGUGCAAGAUAUUUAUAAAUAUAAAUGUUUAUGUUUUAUAGAAUAUUAAACAGAUUGUUUUAUUUCUUUUAGAGCUUUAUUUUAUAUUUGUUGAUUAAAUCGAAUAACCAACAAA